CCUACGGGAGGCAGCAGUGGGGAAUAUUGCACAAUGGGCGCAAGCCUGAUGCAGCCAUGCCGCGUGUGUGAAGAAGGCCUUCGGGUUGUAAAGCACUUUCAGCGGGGAGGAAGGCGGCGAGGUUAAUAACCUCAUCGAUUGACGUUACCCGCAGAAGAAGCACCGGCUAACUCCGUGCCAGCAGCCGCGGUAAUACGGAGGGUGCAAGCGUUAAUCGGAAUUACUGGGCGUAAAGCGCACGCAGGCGGUCUGUCAAGUCGGAUGUGAAAUCCCCGGGCUCAACCUGGGAACUGCAUUCGAAACUGGCAGGCUAGAGUCUUGUAGAGGGGGGUAGAAUUCCAGGUGUAGCGGUGAAAUGCGUAGAGAUCUGGAGGAAUACCGGUGGCGAAGGCGGCCCCCUGGACAAAGACUGACGCUCAGGUGCGAAAGCGUGGGCAGCAAACAGGAUUAGAUACCCCGGUAGUC
rnacentral:rRNA from 1 species